rnacentral:rRNA from 1 species
CACAAGCGGUGGAUGAUGUGGAUUAAUUCGAUGCAACGCGAAAAACCUUACCUACCCUUGACAUGCCAGGAACCCUGCUGAGAGGUGGGGGUGCUCGAAAGAGAACCUGGGCACAGGUGCUGCAUGGCUGUCGUCAGCUCGUGUCGUGAGAUGUUGGGUUAAGUCCCGCAACGAGCGCAACCCUUGUCAUUAGUUGCCAUCAUUUAGUUGGGCACUCUAAUGAGACUGCCGGUGACAAACCGGAGGAAGGUGGGGAUGACGUCAAGUCCUCAUGGCCCUUAUGGGUAGAGCUUCACACGUCAUACAAUGGUCGGUACAGAGGGUUGCCAAGCCGCGAGGUGGAGCCAAUCCCAGAAAGCCGAUCGUAGUCCGGAUCGGAGUCUGCAACUCGACUCCGUGAAGUCGGAAUCGCUAGUAAUCGUGGAUCAGCAUGCCACGGUGAAUACGUUCCCGGGUCUU